rnacentral:lncRNA from 1 species
ACAUGAUUCUCAAGGACUUCCAGAAAUAGGAAAAGGACUUCAGCAUCUUUGAGCCAAUCAGAAACUUACAUUGGCAAAUCUCCUACCGUCUUAGGCAGGCAUAGUAAAGAUUUUUGAGAAACAGAUGGAGGAGGAGUUGAAUGAUCAGGACAAACCUGUUUUUUACGGUAAUCAGGACAAACAUGUUACUCAGUUUCUCCUUCUUCUCUUCCUCCUUUCCUUCCUCCACCAAGUCCUCUUGGUUGAGAUAGCAAUGCAGCAUGGAGUUCUCGAGCUUCUUUGGUCCGUCAUCAUGCUUGUGAACCUAGAGUCCAGCGCCAAUACGACCUCCUUCCUUGUCUGCCCCAUCUUCUCGCAAUCUCGCCUUACAGGCAGAGCAAUCCCAAGCUGCAAAGAACUCGGUAUCAAAAAAUAAGGAAAACACUAGGCGAUAAGCAAGGUCGGGGCAAUCUUCUACCAAUCCAGAAACUCUAACCAAUUGGAUGGACAAGAACAGUACAAAUGAUGAGCCAACGCACAUGGAUCCGGUGCACAGGUGGCAAGGAAAUCAGGGAACGAAGAAAAGGAACGGACGGAGAUGACAGAGUAAGGAGGAGAAAGGAGCUCCUGCCACCAGGCUGAGGGAAAAAGCAAGACACUAGCGGAGGGACUCUAUAUGCUGGUAGAAAGUAGCGGCAUGGGCGAUAUGGCGGAAGGACGGGAGAACAGCGAUCUGACGUUGUUAGAAACUCAC